ACAGGUGCUGCAUGGCUGUCGUCAGCUCCGUGUCGUGAGAUGUUGGGUUAAGUCCGCAACGAGCGCAACCCUUGCCUUUAGUUGCCAGCAGUUCGGCUGGGCACUCUAAAGGGACUGCCGGUGUUAAACCGGAGGAAGGUGGGGGUGACGUCAAGUCCUCAUGGCCUUUAUGACCAGGGCUACACACGUACUACAAUGGCCGAUACAAAGGGCAGCGACACUGCGAGGUGAAGCCAAUCCCGUAAAAUCGGUCUCAGUCCGGAUUGGAGUCUGCAACUCGACUCCAUGAAGUUGGAAUCGCUAGUAAUCGUGGAUCAGCAUGCCACGGUGAAUACGUUCCCGGGCCUU
rnacentral:rRNA from 1 species